UGGGGAAUAUUGGACAAUGGGCGAAAGCCUGAUCCAGCAAUGCCGCGUGAGUGAUGAAGGCCUUAGGGUUGUAAAGCUCUUUUACCCGGGAUGAUAAUGACAGUACCGGGAGAAUAAGCCCCGGCUAACUCCGUGCCAGCAGCCGCGGUAAUACGGAGGGGGCUAGCGUUGUUCGGAAUUACUGGGCGUAAAGCGCACGUAGGCGGCUUUGUAAGUUAGAGGUGAAAGCCCAGAGCUCAACUCUGGAAUUGCCUUUAAGACUGCAUCGCUAGAAUUGUGGAGAGGUAAGUGGAAUUCCGAGUGUAGAGGUGAAAUUCGUAGAGAUCGGGAGGAACAUCUGUGGCGAAGGCGGCCAUCUGGACCAGCACUGACACUGAGGCACGAAAGCGUGGGGAGCAAAC
rnacentral:rRNA from 1 species